UCCUCCUCUCCUCUUCGACAACUAUGAUGUCCAACUCGACCUCUGCCUCCAAUCCAACUCCAAGAAUCAUUGGAUUGACGACGGCGACUCGACAACAACCUCAUUUCCUUGGCCAACCCUACUUAUCUUCUUCAUGCCAGUUCCCAAAUAUCACUCCCUUCCCUUUACUCUUCACAAAUCACAAAAACAAGAAGUUACCCAUUUUCAACCCUAAAGGCCUAAUUUAUUGCCCUUUUUCAGUGUUUGUUACCUCUCUUUUUUGUGCGGAUCGUCAAUUUAUUGUCUGUCCUCUUCGAUUUGAUCAUGGUAUAUUUAUUAUGUAAUUAAUUUUUUCUUGUCAAGAUUCAUGACUAAGUAAACUCCUUGAAAAAUUACAACUUCUCUUACUUAGCCUGUGUAUGUGGUUUUAUUUCAGGUAGAUUGAUGUUAAGAAGGGCCUUUGACUACAUUUAUCUCAAUCAGAGUGUUGUUGUCUUGCUGAUGAAGGUUUGACUCAUUUUUCCUUUGGUUGUGCUUUCCAACUCUUGUGUUUCUUCUAUUUUAUUACUAUUGACAAAUAAAAAUAUAUAUUAAUUAGCAAAGAUGUUAUAUGUCAGUUGUCGUGUUGCUAAUGAUAUAUUUGAUGAACUGCCAAAUCCCAAAUGGAGCCAUAACAUUAUUACAUAAAUCAUACGUAGUAGUCCAGUAACCAGAUUUUGUUUUCCUUUACUUGUGCUCAUGUUCAAUCGUAUAUUAUUUGAAGACCUUAUGCACUUGGUUGGUGCCAUAAAUAUUUUAGGUUUGUUGUUUUUGUGAGAUAUGUCAGUAGUGAGGUGAACAAUAUCAACUGGAAUGAAUUUUGUCUAUGGUUUGGUUUGGUUUCCACUUUUUGAUUUUGGUUUCCACUUUGGGUAUUAUAUUGGUGGUUGCUGCCAAAUUUUUAUUUCAGGCUUGUGAAUUGUGACAGCAGAAUUCUCAACGGCAUGAUUCCAUCAUUUUUGUCGAAAUUAUACUUUUCAGGUAAGUAAUGGCUUGCCCUAACUUGUUAUUAAAUAUAUUGGAAAUAUUUAAAGGUUUGUCGGCUUAUAUGAUUGGUUAUUGUAGGAUCAAUUGCACAAGCGCACAUAGUAACUAUAUUGAAAACUUUUAAUUGUGAAAUGAUUGAAAUAUUUUGUGAAAAAAAGUUUCUCCAAUUGAAGUUGAUCAAGACUUACCUUUGAACAACUAUAUCACAAGAAAAAUUGAACGGAUUAGCUAUGUUAUUAAUAGAUAAAGAAAUAGUUGAAUAACUAAAUUAUUCAGAUUUGAUUAAUGUUUUUACCUCUAAAACAGC
rnacentral:lncRNA from 1 species